GGAAGUAAAAGUCGUAACAAGGUUUCCGUAGGUGAACCUGCGGAAGGAUCAUUAUCGAAUUCUGAGAGGGAAAGACACAGAGUGUAGAUUGUCGCUGGCCCUCCCUCGAGGGCAUGUGCACGUUUUCCUUUGUGUUGACCUUUUCUCAUAUACACACACACCUGUGCACCUGCUGUAGGUCCUUGAAAGAGGAUCUAUGUCUUUCAUAUCACACCCAUCGUAUGUCUAUAGAAUGUUGAUAUAAUAUAAAUCAUACAACUUUCAGCAACGGAUCUCUUGGCUCUCGCAUCGAUGAAGAACGCAGCGAAUUGCGAUAAGUAAUGUGAAUUGCAGAUUUUCAGUGAAUCAUCGAAUCUUUGAACGCACCUUGCGCUCCUUGGUAUUCCGAGGAGCAUGCCUGUUUGAGUGUCAUUUGAAUUUCUCAAAAAUUUCAUGUUUUGAUUUUCAUGAACUUUUUGGAGUUGGGAGUUGCUGGCGGUGAGAAGCUGUCGGCUCUCCUGAAAUGCAUUAGCAAAGGAUGUGCAAGUCUUUUACGUGCACGGCCUUCGACGUGAUAAUGAUCGUCGCGGCUGGAGCGUUUGGACAUGCAUGAAUCAUCCAUGCUAUCCAAUCCAUUAGGCUAGCCUUGAGCUUUGAUUGCUUCAGCUACUAGUCGAUCGUGAGGCCGACGAACGUUUGGCAGUCAAGCUUUACUAGUCUUUUCUUUGAAACUUGACCUCAAAUCAGGUAGGACUACCCGCUGAACUUAAGCAUAUCAAUAAGCGGAGGA
rnacentral:rRNA from 1 species